GACGUAGGGGGCAAGCGUUGUCCGGAUUUAUUGGGCGUAAAGAGCUCGUAGGCGGCUCAGAAAGUCGGGUGUGAAACCUCCAGGCUCAACCUGGAGACGCCACCUGAUACUGCUGUGGCUAGAGUCCGGUAGGGGAGCACGGAAUUCCCGGUGUAGCGGUGAAAUGCUUAGAUAUCGAGAGGAACACCGGUGGCGAAGGCGGUUCUCUGGGCCUGACCUGACGCUGAGGAGCGAAAGCGUGGGGAGCGAACAGG
rnacentral:rRNA from 1 species